rnacentral:lncRNA from 1 species
GUAACAUUAAUUGUUACAUGUCUUAAUUCUUUUUAAUAAAAUGUUGAGUAAAAUAAAAUUAACAAAACUAUUUACAAAACUAAAACUAUUUACAAAAACUAAACUAUUUACAGUAGCAAACUAAACGCAUCAAAAUUUCUGGCCAGCUACAUUUUAUCACCACGCACGUAUUUAAACGAGCGACAUAUUAGGCACCCGGACCGCACCAGCGACUCCUCGCUUCCACGUCGCCGCUGUCACGGCUGCUGCCAGUGCGAAUCUGGAUAUCGAGGCGAACGCACGCCGGUUUUUUGAACACUAACUUUAAGUUAUUAUAACCGCCAUAGCGAUUAAACUUUUUAAGGGCGUCAUUACCGUUCCCUCGACUAUAUAUCUCGACAUAUAAUAAUACUCAGCAUAUUCAGUGUGUGUGAUUUAAACCCCGAUUGGGGUUUCACGUACACCUUAAGUCUCCUGCUUCCCCGCGGUGGACUGUAGCGGGUUGACCUUCGAACCCUACACCUACACCUGUACCUGGACCUGAUCUCGGCGCGCGGCCACUUGUUCCUGCAGCGACCAGUGACGUCAGGGAAGUGCUAGGCUAGUGAGGAGGUUAAUCACUGUAAAACUGUAUGUAUGGGCUCUAACCCAUUGUUUAUUUCUGCCGACCGAGCUAUACUGUGUUUGUGUGCGGUAAAUAAAUUGUCCAUCUUGCUACCUA